UCUUGCUAUGCUUGUCAUUGUGUAAGCAGCAAACUUGCAGUGACCAGUUGGAUUCCACCCCCCUGAUGUUGGUGGUGUGCUCUUGGGGAGAUGUCUUCCAGACAGGCAAAGAAGAGUGACAUCAUCAGAGCAUGGAUGACCUCAAAGAUAUUACAGCUAUGUGGCUUCAAAUAAAAUUGAUUUACACCUCCUAUCAAGGUUGUUUUUCUCCCAGGAGUCUAAACCGAUUCUUCUCAAACUGCAAUGUGCCCUGCAGAUCAAGUGCCCUGCAGAUCAAGUGCCCUGCAGAUCAAGUGCCCUGCAGAUCUUGCUACAAUGCAGAAUCCGACCCAGUAGGUCUGAGCUCCAGAGAGAGCCAUCCUGAUGGAAACUACUGAACAUGGGGACACAAAAGAAAAGAGGGAGGAGAUGAAAGAAGGUGAGGGUCUCUAUUGCCAGCAGAACUGGACUGUGUGUUUAACUGGAAAGCUGAUGGGAAAUGUAGUUAUGCACAGCUCUCUGGACCCUUCUAGUGAAAUAAAGAACUAGUUAAAUAAGGCAAGACAGAAGAAUGAGGCUGCCAUCUAGAGGUAGUAACAGGUAAUGUUCCAGGGCACAAGGGAGCCAAAGGCAGAGAGUUUCUUCACUUUUUAUUCUCUGCAGUCUUCAUACCUAAUAAUGAUCUCAUUCCUCUAUAUUAGUCAAGAUCUUCCCAUUAUAAGUGACGAAUUAUAACCAGAUUAAACCAAAAAGUAAAAUAAUUCAUUGACUGAUUGAUAUGGUUUGGAUUUGUGUCCCCGCCCAAAUCUCAUGUAGAAUUGUAAUCCCCGGUGCCAAUUGGAGGUGGGUCCUGGUGGGAAGUG
rnacentral:lncRNA from 1 species